AUUGAACGCUGGCGGAAUGCUUUACACAUGCAAGUCGAACGGCAGCACGGACUUCGGUCUGGUGGCGAGUGGCGAACGGGUGAGUAAUGUAUCGGAACGUGCCCAGUCGUGGGGGAUAACGUAGUGAAAAUUACGCUAAUACCGCAUACGAUCUAUGGAUGAAAGCGGGGGAUCGCAAGCCCUCGCGCGAUCGGAGCGGCCGAUAUCAGAUUAGGUAGUUGGGGGGGUAAAGGCCCACCAAGCCAACGAUCUGUAGCUGGUCUGAGAGGACGACCAGCCACACUGGAACUGAGACACGGUCCAGACUCCUACGGGAGGCAGCAGUGGGGAAUUUUGGACAAUGGGCGAAAGCCUGAUCCAGCCAUUCCGCGUGCAGGAUGAAGGCCCUCGGGUUGUAAACUGCUUUUGUACAGAACGAAAAGGUUUCUACUAAUACUAGGAGCUCAUGACGGUACUGUAAGAAUAAGCACCGGCUAACUACGUGCCAGCCGCCGCGGUAA
rnacentral:rRNA from 1 species